GAUGAACGCUGGCGGCGUGCCUAAUACAUGCAAGUCGAACGCGCAGCGAAAGGUGCUUGCACCUUUCAAGCGAGUGGCGAACGGGUGAGUAACACGUGGAUAACCUGCCUCAAGGCUGGGGAUAACAUUUGGAAACAGAUGCUAAUACCGAAUAAAACUUAGUAUCGCAUGAUACAAAGUUGAAAGGCGCUACGGCGUCACCUAGAGAUGGGUCCGCGGUGCAUUAGUUAGUUGGUGGGUAAAGGCCUACCAAGACAAUGAUGCAUAGCCGAGUUGAGAGACUGAUCGGCCACAUUGGGACUGAGACACGGCCCAAAACUCCUAACGGGAGGCUGCAGUAGGGAAUCUUCCACAAUGGCGAAAGCCUGAUGGAGCAACGCCGCGUGUGUGAUGAAGGCUUU
rnacentral:rRNA from 1 species